rnacentral:rRNA from 1 species
GAUGAACGCUGGCGGCGUGCCUAAUACAUGCAAGUCGAGCGAACGGACGAGAAGCUUGCUUCUCUGAUGUUAGCGGCGGACGGGUGAGUAACACGUGGAUAACCUACCUAUAAGACUGGGAUAACUUCGGGAAACCGGAGCUAAUACCGGAUAAUAUUUUGAACCGCAUGGUUCAAAAGUGAAAGACGGUCUUGCUGUCACUUAUAGAUGGAUCCGCGCUGCAUUAGCUAGUUGGUAAGGUAACGGCUUACCAAGGCAACGAGGCAUAGCCGACCUGAGAGGGUGAGCGGCCACACGGGAACUGAGACCCGGUCCAGACUCGUGCGGGAGGCAGCAGUAGGGAAUCAGCCGCAAGGGGCGAAAGCCUGACGGAGCAACGCCGCGUGAGGGAUGAAGGUCUUGGGAGCGAAAAACUCUGUUAGGAGGGAAGAACAUAUGUGUAAGUAACUGGGCACAUCGUGGCGGGACCUAAUCAGAGAGCCGCGGCUAAAUACG